GAGCAGAGGAGUUUUCUUCGAGGUCGCCAGACAGACCAGAUUAAUGGGGAGGAUUUAAGUCUCUAGUCCGCAAUCUGGAGCAGAAGGUGGCGUUCACGUACCACCUGCGCUGUUCGCCAACCGCUGUUAGAAGAAGAAGAAGAAGAAGAAGAGGGAGGAGGAGACGAAGAAGAAACUGCAGCGGCUAUGCUAACGUAGCCUGUGUAGACAUAUAAAAUUACUGUUUUACUGCUACAGUCGUGAAUGAACUGUCGCCAUUUUUACAUUUCACAGUUUAGCCUGUUUUCUGUUGGACACUGUAACGAUGCCGUGGAGGUGCUGCGUUCCUGGAUGUAAAGGCUACGAUGAGGCGAAGUCAAUGGGCGUCGUGUUUCACGGAUUACCGACCAGAGACCCGCAGCGCUGCAGAACGUGGCUCACGGCGAUCCAGAACCCCAGGUACGACGAGAACACACCGGUGUCCAAGUACAGCGGCGUUAGGGUCUGCAGCCUACACUUCAAACCUGAGGACUACGAGGAGGACUUCCGGGCUAAAAUACUCAACAUCACGCCCAAGCCGACGUUGAAGAGCGGCGCUGUGCCGUCAGUGUUCCCCGGGAGAGAGCAGGGUGAGCCCGUCGGGACGGAUCCGUCUCCCCCGGCUCCAAAGAGAGCCAGGACUCAGCCAACCUGCGGAGCCGCAGGCAGCUCCUCACAGUCACCUCCAGCGGCCGCGUCAGAUGAAAGCUUCUGCAUCGUGGUGUCAGUCGACCCCCUGGACGACAGCAGCUUCCACUCAAAGCGAGAGUUCAGCUCAAUAACAACGUCUGAUGAGUCUGACGAGGACAUCGACAAAGACUGUACAAUUGUUUACAACCAUAACCUGAUGGAGCUAUUCAGAAUGUGUCAGACGUGUGGCCAGCCCAUAGUGGAGAAGGAGGUUUUCCACUCAGGAGCGCAGAUGAGGGUGAAGUGGAGCUGUCACGGUGGACACUCUGGUAUGUGGAAGUCCUCGCCUCACCUGAGAGACGUGCUGCCGUGAAUUCCGCCUGCUGCCCGCUGCUUCUACUCAGUGGUAGAACGUUUCCAGAGCGUGAGGAGUGUUAAGCUCACGGGGACACAAACACGUUCGAAGCCGAAUAAGCCUGUGUACGAGACACUGAGCAGGAGGGGGCGGGGGGUUACCGGCUGAAAUUAUCAGCCAGCAGCUGGAGGACAUGUUGAACCACAUCUCAGGUGACGGACACUGCGGUUCACCAGGGUUCAAACCGCCACUACACCUUCAUGUUGGACUCCACAAAGGAAUCAGUCCAAACUGGCGCAGGUGACAGAGUCCGACAGUUCUGUUGCCGUGGAGCUAAUGGGCUUCACCAGAAGACAACCUGAGCUGUUGGGCCAUGGACUUCAAGCUGGCGUGGUUACCACAGAGUUCCCCUACGAUACAGCAUUUCAUGAAGGGUGACCUUCCUGACAUACAACACCAGUUUCACACCUGGCACACAGCAGAAGGUCAGUACAAUAAAGUGUAUAUAUAAUAUAAUAACAGGACUCAGAGGAAGACAUGAGGGGGUACGACCACACUAGGCCGUCUCAAAACAACCUGCGUCCACACAGCGUUUCCAGGUGGUUUUAGCAGAGAGCUCUGUCCACAGUGAAUCACCUGAACAACGGAAAAACAGGCAAAUCUCUUCUUCUUCAAACCACAACAAAACUGCAUGACAGGCAGCCAGCUGAUAACAUCUGGAUUUCAUGGUCAUCUGACAGAAUCAGCAUAAAUACGGGAUAACGGCAACAGCUGUGUGAUCGCACAAACUGGCAGUUAAAAGUAUCGAUCACGGAGGAAGUUAGAGGGGAGACGGAAAGUUAGUUCUUCACUUCGCGGCCACGGUCUGCUCGUCUGCUGAGAGUUAAACCGGGGAUCAGUCUCCUCCUCCUCUGUCGUCACCUCAGCGGGUUUCACUGCAGCUCAGUUCAACAUACAGCUGUUCUCAUUUACAGAUGUUUCUGUUUCUGUGGUCGGACACUGAGCCAGGACCCAACAAUCUCAUCUCAGAACCAUUACAUGUAAACCUGCAGUCGUUCCCAACCCGCUGCUGCUGAGAAACUCAUAGUUUUAGAAUCGCGGCAUUAUGCGAUAACAUCACAUGAAUCCAGGUUUUAAUGAAAACAGCACAGGAAUUUAAAACGAUCCAUGACCGAGAAAGUCAGAGGACUGAAAGUCGCCUUCUUGACUUCACUGUCACACGGCUCCGACCCUCACUGAGCAGCCACAGACGGACUAAAUGCACUUCCUGUGUUGUCACAUGGAAAUUUCUUUGAAGCAGAUGUAGUCCAUCUAGCAGAGAACCUUAAUUUACAAAUAACCGUCUUUACUUUCUAUUACUUCUUCCUUUCGAUCAGCGUUUCAUCAAACUUGUCUGUUUCCAUUCUAUUUCAAAUUAUUAGUUAGGUGACGUUAUCAAUAAAUCUGAUUAGUGUGGAAUGACAUCCGGCAUCUGUCUUUUU